CCAGAUCAGGGCUACUUUCACUCUCUUAACAGUGAGCGCGCAAUGAGCAAAGGCUGUGUGCUCUGACAGUCUGAAACUGACGAGGCCUCCCGGGGAAACGUGGCCAGAACAACCAAACCCAUUGAGCAGUUCCCAGAGGGGUGGAGUCAGGAGUCAGAUGACUCGAGGUGCGAUGACCUCACACCAUUGCUGGCCGUGGGAACUCUACGGACUCACCCAGACUCAGUUUCUUUUACCUAUAACUUGAGGGUCUCAGCUCUAACAUGAGUGGAAGAGCAUCAAGGGAAACCGAGGAAUGGUGUAGAGGGAUGAUAAUCCAACCUGUCUCAAGAAGUUUUGGGUGAGAAUGUGUAGAAAGCUGCAAGUGUGGUGGAUUCACAUGGCAGAAAAGGGGACUCCUGGAAGUUGUCUUCUGACCAGCACAUGUACACCAAAACAUGUGUUUAUUUGAAUGUGUGCACAAGUGAGCACACACACACACAUGAAAUAAAUAUGUUUAAAAAUGCUUAUGUUGAAAUUUCCUCACAGAUCACGGCAGGGCCUGAAGUCUCUGAGGGUUGAUUGGGUCCUGGGGUGGAGCUUCUGAGUCAGAUUGGCAUCUUUAUGAAAGGUCAAAGGAGCCCCCUUCCUCUGACCAUGAGCCAGACAGUCUGCCUUUAACCUUAGACUUCCAGGCUGAAGAGUCAUGAGUAAUAUAUUUCUGUCGUUACAGCAGCCUAAAUGGUGAACGAUCCUUUACAAAUCCAGGUGACCCCCACUCACAGAGUCAUAUUUACUAAUUGACCUACUCCGUGCUUACUUAAUCAUCACCUGUAAAAACACAGGGCAGAAACAGCUUUGAGUCCCCUGACUGACUUGCAUGGUCCCUGACUUGCAUGGUCCCUGACUUGCAUGGUCCCCUAUGAGGUGAACAAGAGGAUGUUCUACUUUCCUGUCUCAGUUUCUCUUCUUGCAAAACAUGUAGUGCUAUUUCCUCUGUACUUUUGUGCCCCUUUGGUGGUUUUACUUUCUGGAAUGGUCCUCGGAGGUGUCGUGGAAGUGCUGCUUGCUGUCCCUGAGCACAAAGCCCUGUUCAAUGCCUUCUGGAGAAAAUACACGUUAGGCUUACUCUCUCCGGCCAGAGCUGCAUGUCUGGAUCUAGUCAACGAAUCCAGGAACUGUGAAGGUGUCUCUGAACAGAAGCAUAUGUAACACACGAUGUUUGGAACUGAGUCAGCCUAACACAGGGCUUUGCCUUGAUUAACUGACCAAAAAACAAGUGACCAAAAGCUUUGCUCCCACUGAAGUUCUAUUAUAGAAAUGUUUAGUUUUUGCUAUUUCAGUGUUUGUGGGGACAUUACAGACAUAAGUACUGUGAAUCACAAAAAUUGACUAUCUUUCUGAAUGCACACACUCACAUUUUUCUGUGAGUUGGGAUAUACCUCUCCUGUUCUUGAUCCCUUUUAUAUUUGUGCUAAUAAAGUAUCUGUCCCUGUUCCACGUGCAGAUUUGCCCCCAUUUCUUCAGUUAUCAGCCAAUAGCUCCCUACUGAUGAACAGUUUGGUUGCUUCCCCUUAUGCUAGUCACUAUUCAAACAGUACAAUUCUCACUGGCAACAAAAUAACACAUUAUUUAGCACUUUCCCUGGGCCAUCUAUUAAGAGUUCUGUAAAUAUUCUUGUUUAAGC